rnacentral:rRNA from 1 species
UGGCGAACGGGUGAGUAACGCGUGAGGAACCUGCCUCAAAGAGGGGGACAACAGUUGGAAACGACUGCUAAUACCGCAUAAGCCCACGGGUCGGCAUCGACCUGAGGGAAAAGGAGCAAUCCGCUUUGAGAUGGCCUCGCGUCCGAUUAGCUAGUUGGUGAGGUAACGGCCCACCAAGACGACGAUCGGUAGCCGGACUGAGAGGUUGAACGGCCACAUUGGGACUGAGACACGGCCCAG